rnacentral:rRNA from 1 species
UACGUAGGGGGCAAGCGUUGUCCGGAAUCAUUGGGCGUAAAGAGCGCGUAGGCGGCCCUGUAAGUCCGCUGUGAAAGUCAAGGGCUCAACCCUUGGAUGCCGGUGGAUACUGCAGGGCUAGAGUCCGGAAGAGGCGAGUGGAAUUCCUGGUGUAGCGGUGAAAUGCGCAGAUAUCUGGAAGAACACCGGUGGCGAAGGCGGUCAACUGGCCCUGAACUGACGCUCAGGCACGAAAGCGUGGGGAUCAAACAGG